rnacentral:lncRNA from 1 species
ACAAUGAUACCGUUGGAGUCCUUAAACUUUCUUCCAUGGUUUGCAAAAGUCUCGUAUUCCACAUCGGUGUGCAAUAACGACAUAACACGGUAAGGCACGGGAUUUGAAAAACAGGGGAUGAUAUAGUCAGGGUCAGUAGGGCUAAACUUAGGCUCACCCUUGUCUUGUCUAUCUGAAAGGUAAAGCGUCAUGGCAAGAAAGGCAGCAUCAGAAGUGAAAAAAACAUGAGAAGGGACCCCAAGUUCUUUGGAAACAUCAAUAAAUGCAGUGCAGAACAUAUCAACAACAACACUAGCAAUUGGUGCAGGGUUGUGGGCCAUGACUUGGUUAACAAUAGUAUCUUUUACAAGGGUUUUGUGAUCAUUGAUGUAAGAAGUAUAAGCACUUGCAGGGCUUACAGCUAAAGCUUCUGGAGGAGGUGCAGGUAUGGUCUCAGGAAUUUCGAUGAACCUGAUUUCUGUAUGAAUUGAAGCAAGCGAUUCGCUGUUCUUGCUUAUGCUACCGUAAAAUGGAUUGUUGAUGGCAAGCAUGGUUAUCAAGAAACUGUCGUUUCUCUUAAGAACCAUCUUUGCUAACUGAACAGCUGAUACAAGGUGGCCAAAUCCAGGUGCAGGGACAAAGACGAGCUGUGUUUUCUUCAUUUUGGAGGUUUUGAAUGUUCAAUGUGGUGAUCCUUGUUUGCCUUAUAAUGGGCUCAAGGUCAAUGCUAGCUGUUAUGUUUUUUUUUUUUUUUCUAAAUUAAUCAUCAAAUCAAAUUGGAUAUAACAAAUAUUACGAAGAUUGAUUUCAUAGAAAAAUUUUCUUGUAAUGUUUUUAAACAAUUCAAAUUAAAUAAAAAAAAUAUAAAUAUAAAAGAAAAUAAAGCUAGGGUUUCAUUAAUCAUUUUAUUCUGAAAUUAUAUUUUUAAUCUAAAUAUAAAAAAAUUAUAUAUAAACUAAACUAAAAAUACUAUUUUAUUUUUAAUAAAUAAAAUUAAAUAAAUAUACUUUUUAACAACAUUCAUCUUUCCCGUAAAAUAUCUUUUACUAUGAUAAUUUAAUUAAGUAUCACUUGAUUAAAAUAUAUUUUAAAAAUUAAAGAUUAUAUUAUAAUUAAUACAAGAGUUAUAUUUCUAGACCUAGAAAAAUCAAGUAAGGAUUUAAUUGAUUAAAUUUCUAAAAUUAAUUACCCUUAUAUAAUAUAUGGAUAUUAUUUAAGAGCAAAUAAAUAUAUUUUGUCAUUUAUACGGUUUUAUGAUUUCUUAUAAAUAUAAAACUAAGCCUAUUAUUUUGUAAAUAAAAAAUAAUGAUUGUCUGUUAAAUAGAAAAAUUAUGUAAAUAUAAUAUUAGAGCUAACACUCUAUACAUAACAAUUUAUCAUUUCUAAACAAAAAUUUAUGAGUUUUUUUCACGGGUAGUUUGUGUAUAUUAUCAUUAGAGAUCAGGUAAUGAAAUUAUUUAUAGUUUAUGUCAACCUAACUUUUAAAAAAUAAUUUAAAAUAAAAAAAUAAAUAUUUAAAUAAUUUUAAACUUAAUAUAAUAUGAUAUAAGAAAUGAUAUCCUGUUAGUGCGAGUUUGUGUGUAUUGACAACUUAAUAUAUUCAGUCAUGCGAAUUCUUUGUAGUUGUUAACUUGUUAUGGUUUCAAAUUGAGGAAGGACGUAGUUUUUAAUGUCAACAACAAUGAUUGAUUGUGAUUGCAUUUAAUAGCUAGACAGUUACAUGGCUAGAAAGAAUCCAAAGAUAUAAUAUAUACAUGAUGAUAUUCUAUUUAAAUUUAUUAAAUGGCAAUUUCGUAGGAAUUGCUAAAGUGUUAAAUUGUGGAUGAAGUUUUUUAUGAAUUUUUAUUUUUAUUUUAUUCUAUUGUACUUUUCAUCAUUGAUAGUUAUUUAUGAAAAAUAUUAUAUCACAAUUUAUAUCAAAAUUAUUGACACAAAAAUUCUAUCACUAUUAUCUUCUAAAAUUAUUGAUGAAAAUUUUUUCAUUGCCAUUUCUGAUUUUAUUUAUUAAUUUUCUGGUAAUAAUAAUCUUAUGCUCAGGUUUAUAAUCCUAUAAUUAAAAAAAUAGUAUCUGAAAUUGAAACUUAAAAGAAGAUUAAACCUUCCAUUUUUAAAUUAUAUGAAAUGUUGAUAAUACAACUAAUCAAACAUAAACUAACAAUCAUUAAUUUAAACAAAAUUUAAGAAUUGAUGGUAUGAUUCCAUAAAUUAAUUAUUAAAAUUACAUUUUAUAAAUUUUUAUCAAGUAAUUCUACCAUCAAUUCCUAAAAUCUAACAAUCAUUUAAACAAAAUUUAAGAAUUGAUGAUAGAAUUACUUGGUAAAAUUUUAUAAAAAUAAGCAAACUUUCUUAAUAAUCAUAUACACCCAUCCUUCUUAUUAAAUGACAUUUAAAUGUCUAAAGUAAAGAAUACCUACAUCUAGCUAAAACAAAAUUCGGGAUUCUUCUACAAUAAAAAUGCUAUCAUUUCAUGCACGCAUCAUAAACGAAAAAUCCAAACCAACAUGAUCAUAUAUAUAUAUAUAUAUAUAUAUAUAUAAAUGUAAUGACACAUAAACUUUCCAGUCAAAAUAUUAUAUUUUGAAGAGUGAAAAUACAAACAAUGUUAGUUAAUCUAAAGCUAUCACAUGCCCAACUAUUCUAAUGGCUCUAAUUUUCAACUACUAAUGAAAAAAAAAAUACUAAAAAGUAUUUUUAUAUAUUAAUUAAAAUAAAGUAUACAAUAUUAAGAUUAUUCAAAAUGUUAGACUCACAUCAUGCAUAAACUCAUAUGAGCUUAUCUUUUAAUGUAUCAUGAAUGAUUUUAUUGGUGUGGGUUUUUUUUUUAUAUAUAAUCCUGAAUAUUUAGAUUAUAUUUUUAUAUGUACCUUAAUUAAUUUUUUUAAAAUUCUAAAUUUUACAACCAUGUGAUGUAUUGAUGGGGAAGGCAGUGAGGUGGUGACUGUUUCUGGAGGGACGGGUGCUUGUAAAUUAGAUAGUGAUGGGUCGACAAGCCAUGGCCAUAAGCAAAAAGAUAAAGGACGAGGAGAGGGAGAAAAAGUUGUGCAUAUUUUGUGCAACAUGUGAUGGUGGAACAGGAUAAAGGACGAGGAGAGGGAGAAAAAGUUGUGAAUCCCUGUGGCAAGAUCUCUCCAUAGUUGUCAAAAAAACUAGCUUGCAGCAUCCCCUUGGAGGGUUUCAACCGAAUGGACCAUAAGAACCUAUGUCCACUCCUCUCGAGCCCGAUUGCAAUUUCUUUCAACUGAGCUUCAUCAAAGCCUCCUCCGCUCCCGAAGCACAAGAACACCACUGAUUUUUCAGGUUGAUCAUCAAGCCAUUUCAAGAUCUCGUCACGCUUGACGCCAUCGGAUCCUGACAGACUCUUUCCCUUGUGAUCAAUCAAUGGCCCAACAUUGAAAAUAGGUGGUAUAUCAACUCUAGCCAAAAGAGCACUAACUGCAAGGGACUCAGCUUCUGAAAAUGUAUUAACAAUGAUACCGUUGGAGUCCUUAAACUUUCUUCCAUGGUUUGCAAAAGCCUCAUAUUCCACAUCGAUGUGCAAUAACGGCAAAAGACGGUAAGGCACGGGAUUUGAAUAAGAGGGGAUGAUAUAGUGUCAGUAGGGCUAAACUUAGGCUCACCCUUGUCUUGUCUAUCUGAAAGGUAAAGCAUCGUGGCAAGAAAGGCAGCAUCAGAAGUGUAAAAAACAUGAGAAGGGACCCCAAGUUCUUUGGCAAUAUCAAUAAAUGCAGUCACUACAAGAUUUAACAGUUUUACUGAUGGAAUUUCCGUCAGUGUAAGACACAUAUUCCAUCGGUAAUUAAUUUACCGACGACAUGACCGACGAAGAAUUUCUGUCGGUGAAUCUUUAUGAUUACAUAUCUGAUAAUCAAUGUUUUGCAG